rnacentral:snRNA from 1 species
GUGCUUGCUUCAACAGCACAUAUACUAAAAUUGGAACGAUACCAAGAAGAUUAGCAUGGUCCCUGCGCAAGGUUGACACGCAAUAAAUGAGGAGUUUGAGAUUAAC